CUGCUACCUGGCGCAUCCUCGGCUGCGGGGCUCCGGCCUCCAGAGCCCUCUUCGCCAGCCCGCCGGCUCCGGGCCUCAGGAGGUGUGCUGGCCCCCCCGGCAGUGGCGUCUCCAGGACCUCCUCAGUCUGCACUGAAGCUGCAGCAGGAGAGACUUGAGCUAGACUCCAGGAAGACCGUUCCGAUCAAGACCAGCGGCAGACUUUGCCCGGGAUUGCUUUAAACUCCGCGUAGACGAGGCCUCUCCUCCCCCAGCGGCCGGGCAGUGGCCAGGGCAGGGCGCAGGGGGCUGCAGGUGCUGGGCGCGGGGCCCUGCUGGUAGAGCUCCCCUCCGGCUCUCCCGUCGGCCUGGGCAAGGCUGUUCCCAGGUUGCAGCGUUUCCAAUUCGAGCUCCUCGGGAUGAAUCAUCCCCCUUUCCCGCCGCCUGUCCUCCUUUCCGGCCUCCUCCACCCGAGGCCUCUGUGGCCCGCGUCCCGGACGGAGCAGCACCGCCCCAGCACCUCAGGCCGCCCCAGCCUGGGCCGCCCGGCUUAAGCCCUUCCCGGCCUGUGGCCUGAGGACUGGAGCCGGGGCCGGGUAAGGAGUAGCUGGGUUGUGUGUGGUGUGGCCCCCAUGGGAGGGAGGGUGUGGGAGGAAACCGGGCCCCCGCCCAGGAGCCCUGGGCCGCAGGGGGAGAGUUAGGACCUCGCUGUCCGGUGGUGCGUCUUCACUCCCCCGGUAUGGUUUCUAAACAGCUUCAGUGCUGGAACCCGUAGCCGAAGCCCCAGGAAGGAGGCCUUGCUACCCCACUCACUCCCCAUCCGCACCCCCGAAGCUCAAGACACGACACCCCAUCCCUGGCUCCAACAGGAGUGCCAAAGGCCCGGGGCCUAGCACUGAGCCGCAGUCUGACGCGUCCAAAGCCUAAUUUUCACAGAUGGAAACUGCGGCCCAGAGAGGCGGAGGAGACUGCCGGGGUCACACGAGGAGGGGGCUCUACCGGGACCCGACGCCGGGCCUCCCGACCCCGGCCAAUGAUGUGCACAGCCACGGGAGCGUCGUGGGAGGAGGCAAGGGCCGUUCCCCGUCGUCUCUGAGUGUGGAGCCUUUUCCCCAGCCCGAAACCUCAGAAGUGACCACCCCGCCCCAGGCCAGAGCUGGUGCCCCGGGCCCAACCCCGAAAAGGUCGCCCGGAGACCCCGCGCGUCUCUGCGUGAAGGAGGGCGAAGGCGUGCGGAGAGAUGGCCACAUGCCUUGAGACCCCGAGACUCGGGAGAGCGUGAGUCCACGCUGGGGACCCCAGGGGGACAGGAACUUGGAGCCACAGUCGGAAGGUCUCAGGCCGCGGGAAGUUGCUCCGGGCCGGGUCCCUUGCACUCAGCCAGCGUCCACACUCUGCCCGGGGUAAAGGGAGGACCGGACUCCCGCCGCCCAGGGCCUUUCCGGAGGGAGGGGAAACAAAAAGUUGAGGAAAGUGGGAGGCGAACCCCGGACCCUAGUUCUGCUCACCUGGUGCCGCCGCGCCCAGGCGUGUGCCGGUCCGAGUCAGCGCGCCGCGGGUCGCGCGGCACUGCCGCGGUCUCCACCGACUCUUGGCCCCCCCCCGGCCCCGCCCCCUACUCGGGCUCCGCCCAGCGCCGCCCAGGCCCCGCCCCCUAGGAGCCCGGGGGACUGGCUGGCUAGCACCCCUCCAGGCCCCACCGCGGGAAGAAGGCAGCCGCUCAGGUCUGAGGGUCGCAGGAAUGCCUUCCACCCCCACCUCUCUAGAGGUUCAGCCUAAGUGCUCGCUCAAGAGAUCUCUGAACCGAGAUGAAGUUACAACUCCCUCCUCCGAGUGCCCGCUUUGCUCGGAUGCCUCUGUAGUCCUUUAGGGGCCGAGACCAGAUUGGAAAGCACCGUGCCUCUGGUCCUUUCUUCAGAGCCAGGCCAGACAAGUGAUGCAGAGAACGAGGGGAACAAAGGUAAUCCAGUAUCGUUUUUCUUCCUGGCUUUUGGUCAGUCCAAAUCCUAAGGCGAUGAGGUAUCACUUCACAUUCACGGUGAGAAGUGCAACGAACAGUCUAGAGGAGAGCGCUGUUUGUGAAGAAACCAUCUGGUGAUGCUCUGAGUUCCCUACCUGACCCGUCUCUCAUCAGCCUGGCCAUAAAUAAGCUUCUUGAGAGGAAGGACUGUAAAUUCCUAAGAAAUCUGCCUUUAUUCUGUUGGGUGAGAAAAAUCCUUUUAGGAACAAAGGGCAGCUCCCUACCCACGCAUGGGUGACCUCCAGGAACAAAACAGCCAUGACACGAACUUUUUAUGCUGAGAAAAGAAAUUAGCAAGAUAACUCAGGAAAUGCAACUCGGAUUCAAACACCAUGAAAUCUUGUCAAGCAAAAAUAGUCUUUAUUCAAAUUUAAUGGAAACAGGGGUCACUAUACUUUGCAAGACGGGGAAAAAUAAAAUUAAAAAAAAUU